rnacentral:lncRNA from 1 species
AUCAAAUAGAAAACCAGGAUUGCGAUCUUCAUCUGCGGGUCGUGUUGCUGGGCUGCCUGGUACCGCUGCAUGAAUAUCUGCUGAUCAUGUCGGUCGGUGAGGUUAUAAAUUGCCGGAUCUGGAUAUUCGUCCGUCUCUAAUACACCAAGGGUGUCACUGGUAGAUGCAUUGGAGCCAAGGGCACCGUUUCCCGGUCGCUCUUCCAUCUUCUAGAUCGUUUGAUGAUAUGGGAUUCUAUUUCGUGAGCGCAUUUAUAUUU